UGCCAGCCGCCGCGGUAAUACGGAGGGUGCGAGCGUUAAUCGGAAUUACUGGGCGUAAAGCGCGCGUAGGCGGCCAACUAAGUUGGAAGUGAAAUCCCAAGGCUCAACCUUGGAACUGCUUCCAAAACUGGUAGGCUAGAGAUUGGUAGAGGAUGGUGGAAUUCCUAGUGUAGAGGUGAAAUUCUUAGAUAUUAGGAGGAACAUCAAAGGCGAAGGCAACCAUCUGGACCAUUUCUGACGCUGAGACGCGAAAGCGUGGGGAGCGAACAGGAUUAGAUA
rnacentral:rRNA from 1 species